rnacentral:rRNA from 1 species
GUAGGGAAUAUUGGGCAAUGGUCGGAAGACUGACCCAGCCAUGCCGCGUGCAGGAAGACGGCCCUCUGGGUUGUAAACUGCUUUUAUCUGGGAAGAAAAAGGCCAUGCGUGGCAAAUUGCCGGUACCAGAUGAAUAAGCACCGGCUAACUCCGUGCCAGCAGCCGCGGUAAUACGGAGGGUGCGAGCGUUGUCCGGAUUUAUUGGGUUUAAAGGGUGCGUAUGCGGCUGAUUAAGUCAGCGGUGAAAGACUUCGGCUUAACCGGAGCAGUGCCGUUGAUACUGGUUGGCUUGAGUGUCGGAGGGGUACAUGGAAUUGAUGGUGUAGCGGUGAAAUGCAUAGAUACCAUCAGGAACACCGAUAGCGAAGGCAUUGUACUGGCCGACAACUGACGCUGAUGCACGAAAGUGUGGGGAUCGAACAGGAUUAGAAACCCGUGUAGUCC